rnacentral:rRNA from 1 species
GACGAACGCUGGCGGCGUGCCUAACACAUGCAAGUCGAGCGGAGAUGAUGUGAGGAAGUUUUCGGAUGGAAUCACAUUAUUUAGCGGCGGACGGGUGAGUAACGCGUGAGCGACCAACCUUGCACAGGGGGAUAACGGACCGAAAGGUUCACUAAUACCGCAUGAGACCACGGUGUUGCAUGACACAGAGGUCAAAGGAGGAAUCCGGUGCAAGACGGGCUCGCGUCCGAUUAGGUAGUUGGAGGGGUAACGGCCCACCAAGCCUAUGAUCGGUAGCCGACCUGAGAGGGUGAUCGGCCACAUUGGAACUGAGAUACGGUCCAAACUCCUACGGGAGGCAGCAGUGGGGAAUAUUGGGCAAUGGGGGAAACCCUGACCCAGCAACGCCGCGUGAAGGAAGAAGGUUUUCGGAUUGUAAACUUCUGUCCUUGGUGAAGAGAAGAAGACGGUAGCCAAGGAGGAAGCCCCGGCUAACUACGUGCCAGCAGCCGCGGUAAACGUAGCGUG